rnacentral:lncRNA from 1 species
AAAUAGAAAAUAAUUAAUGCUGAUAAUUCAGAGAAUUACAGUUUUUGUAAAUCUUUUCUCUACAUAGUUCAGUUUACCCAUAACAAUCUUUCUGUUCGUCCUUUAAUAACUUAAUUAUUCUAAAUAGUCUUAUGACUUUAUAAAGGUCCUUUCUUUGAAGGAUUAUAGGACUUCUAUUUGAAGUCAGACCCCACUCUCCUGUCUAAUUGCCUUUAGCAACCUGCUUUCACCAAAGAUGAAAACGUUUCCAUUUUCUUACUGCAUUCUCUGCUCAGCUAUAGCGAAGUCAGUAGUGGGGCAUUUUUUCAGUAUGCUUUAAGCAGCGCUCUUAUGAGGUAUCCCUUCCGCCUUUAAAUGAAAUAGGUACUUCAAAUAUGCCCAUCAUAGGUAUAUUAACACUCACAGGCUCACACGUAGCCACAAGUUUGGACAACCACAAAAUCAGGUAUGUGUAUACACCUUGGAGACAGAGGAGGUUGAAUCUCCACAAAUUUUUUGUUGAGCACCUUUUUGUACACACUGUGCUUACAUAUAUGCAACUCAUGUAAGUUUCCGUUGAAGUUGCAAGGAGCAUAUGUACAUCAUUAACCAACUGGAACACACGCUGCAGAUACUUUUAAAUCUCUAAACCAAUGUAGCACACACAGUUGCUCAUACUUCUCUCAAUUUUUUGCUUAUUUGUGUGUGGCACUUUCUCAACUAAUCAGUUCUCUUCAAACCUAACC